AGACGUCUACAUUAGGAUACCCGCGUAGUCCCAGCCGUAAACUAUGCUCGCUAGGUGUCAGGCAUGGCGCGACCGUGUCUGGUGCCGCAGGGAAGCCGUGAAGCGAGCCACCUGGGAAGUACGGCCGCAAGGCUGAAACUUAAGGGAAUUGGCGGGGGAGCACCACAACGGGUGGAGCCUGCGGUUUAAUUGGACUCAACGCCGGGAAGCUCACCGGAUAAGACAGCGGAAUGAUUGCCGGGCUGAAGACUCUGCAUGACUAGCUG
rnacentral:rRNA from 1 species